GUCUGUGUGCAGGAGGAUACUGAUCUGCAGUUUUUUUCUCUCGUGAUAUCUUUUGUCUGGCUUUGGUUCCAGACUAACUUCAUAGAAUUAGUUUGAAAGUGUUUAUUCUAAUUUCAGGAAGCAUUUAAGGAAGGAAUGUAUUGAGUGAUUGAGUUUCUUUACAUCUUCACCAGCGUUCAGCCACCAAAGACCUUGUGAAAAAGUGAUGCCACACUGAAAAGGCGUAUGUAACCCACCACCGAGACCGAUGCUGAAGCUCCGAUAAAGGCUCUGAUACAAAGAGCCGCUCAUUGGAAAAGACCCCGAUGCUGGGAAAGAUUGAGGGCGGGAGAGUGGUCACAAAGGACAUGAAGUGGUCACAAAGAUUGUGGUCACAACAGACAUGAGUUUGAGCAAACUCCGGGAGACGGUGAAGGACAGGGCAGCCUGGCGUGCUGCAGUUCAUGGGGCUGCAAAAGUCGGACACGACGGAGUGAACAACAGCACCUGAGCCUUUAGCACCCAUACUGCAAUUGCAUUUCCGGCGUGGAGGCAGUGGCGCCUACCAAGGGUGCAUUCACGUUCCGAACAAAAGCCAAGUUAAGGCAUCAAUGCUGGAAUUCAUGGAAGUCCGUGUCCCAAAUGGAGUGGACUUUACAAGUCUUUCAGUGUGACACCAGUGUAGAUCAUUAAUGUGAAGACACAACAUUUUAUAAAGGGAAUGAUUUUUAAAUUCUGCGGUAUUCUUGUUCUGUGAAAUGGAAACCUGUCACUCAAACACCAAAUGCAGCUCAGUGUGUUGGGGAGUUCUCACAGAACUGUUAGAGUUGUUUCAGUGAUGGCCAGGGGCUCUGCAUGCCUUGGGCUCAGUCCCAUGGAAGGGAGCCGGUGCUGAGCAGAGUGCCUGGCCUGGCCUCUGGAGUGGUCAUUUACCGUGGGUGCAAGGGGAGGGGACAUCCAAGUGUCACAAAGGGGGACGGGUUCUAGAAAAUAAUAUUCAUUAGGGAGGCACUCAGAGGGCUUCUCAGGUGGCGCUACUGGUAAGGAACCCACCUGCCAAAGCAGGAGACAUGAGAGUCGUGGGUUCCAUCCCUGGUUGGGCCGAUCCCCUGGGGGAGGAAAUGGCAGCCCACUCCAUAUUCUUGCCUGGAGAAUUCCGUGGACAGAGGAGCCUGGAGGGCUACAGUCCAUGGGGUCGAAAAGAGGCAGACACGACUGAGCAACUGAGCACAUACACAGAUGUGCUAAGUCAGGAGAGGGAAGAAGGCGUAUAUAGGAGGCAAGAUCUGUGAUGGUCCUAGCGCUAGAAGGCUAAUUCAGAGUGGGGGUACAAACAGAUAAAGAGAAGGAGAGGCGGGGUGAAGGCAAAAGUUAGCCUUACUUACAGGGAGAGAAUGCAG
ensembl:lncRNA